UACGGAGGGGGCUAGCGUUGUUCGGAAUUACUGGGCGUAAAGGGCUCGUAGGCGGCCAACUAAGUCAGACGUGAAAUCCCUCGGCUUAACCGGGGAACUGCGUCUGAUACUGGAUGGCUCGAGUGUGGGAGAGGGAUGCGGAAUUCCAGGUGUAGCGGUGAAAUGCGUAGAUAUCUGGAGGAACACCGGUGGCGAAGGCGGCAUCCUGGACCACGACUGACGCUGAGGAGCGAAAGCCAGGGGAGCAAACGGG
rnacentral:rRNA from 1 species